rnacentral:lncRNA from 1 species
UCCUUCUCUCCUAGUCCCACCUAUCUUGCUUCCCUAUUGGCCAACAGUGUUUAUUCAUUAACCAAUAAGAGAGACAUAUACACAGAAGGACUUCCCCAAUCGGUGACCCUAGUGAACUCUCCUAGUCAUUGGAGCUAUGGAGCCUGAACCAGCCGUCUUCCAUAACCAGGGUUUCUCUGGGUAGCUUUGGAGCCUAUCCUGGCACUCGCUCUGGAAACCAGGCUGGCCUCGAAUGCACAGAGAUCUGCCUGCCUCUGCCUCCCGAGUGCUGGAAUUAAAGGCGUGGGCCACCAACACCCGGAAGUCCUCAGAUUCUUAAUUGCAGAGAGAGAGGAGUGAAGAGCAAAGAAGUUGGGAGCAAGCUGGUGAUAACCACAGAAACAGCUGACCUGAACAAGGGGGAGCUCAUGCACUUGGACCCAAGACUGAUGUCUGGGAGGCCAGCACUGGACUGAUCCAGACCCCUAAACGUGGAUGUCAAUGAGGAGGCCUCGGCACUCUAUGGGGCCUCUGGUAGUGGAUCAGUAUUUAUCCCUGGCAUAAGAGGGGACUUUGGGAGUCCAUCCCACAUGGAGGGAUACUCUCUCAGCCUGACACAUGGGGGAGGGCCUAGGAUGACAUGAAAGACUUUGGGGAAUAUCCAUGAAGGGCCUUACCCUCCCUGGGAAGCAGAGGGGGGAUGAGGGAGAAGGGAUUGACAGGCUUGUUUCUAAUUGAACUAAUAAAAAAUAAUAUCUUAGGAAAAAAUAAAUGAAAAAGACACAAAGGACCUAUCAUAUAUUGUAAUACAUGACAACUGUAUGAAACUGGUUUUGAUAGUGUCAACAUAUAAAAUUUUACUGUUUUACAACCAUGAUCAUUGUUUUGUAUAUGGACUAUGGUUAUUUUUGUGUUGCAGUGAAAAUGAGAGGUAGUAUCAAAGGAUGGUGUGUCAAAAGUUACUAUCUUGCUCUUUGUAGAUAAAGUUGUCUGGUAACUUAGAAACGUUGCAAAAUGUACUUCUUUUCCUAUGUUAGAAGGGCAAAUAUUUCCAGAAACAUCAUCCCUCUAUUUUAAAUUGGGGGUUAUCUUAAUUUUCUCCAUGUUUUGUAAUAUGAAACAAUAACAGAUUCACAAGCAGCUAUAAGAAAUAACAAAACAUUUUAUGCACAUGUGUUCAGCUUCUCCAAAUAACAUUGUGGGAAAUUUUAUAGUCCUGUGUCAUCAGACAAUUAGGAUAUGGACAGGGAUGCUAGUGUUAUUCAUCCUGUAGAUAUGAAUGAGCAUGUGUGCUUAAGUGAAUUCUAAUGGAUCCUUCUUUUUAUAUGUUCUUCAUCAUUAAUUUACUUAGUGUGUAUGCAUGUCAAAGCACACAUGCGAAGGUCAGAGAACAACGUGCAAGAGUCAUUUUUUUUU